rnacentral:rRNA from 1 species
UACGUAGGGUGCGAGCGUUGUCCGGAAUUACUGGGCGUAAAGAGCUCGUAGGUGGUUUGUCGCGUUGUUCGUGAAAACCGGGGCUUAACCCUCGGCGUGCGGGCGAUACGGGCAGACUUGAGUACUGGCAGGGAGGACUGGAAUUCCGUGGUGUAGCGGUGGAAUGCGCAGAUAUCAGGAGGAACACCGGUGGCGAAGGCGGGUCCUCUGGGCGAGUAACUGACGCUGAGGAGCGAAAGCGUGGGGAGCGAACAGG